rnacentral:rRNA from 1 species
ACGAACGCUGGCGGCGUGCCUAAUACAUGCAAGUCGAACGAAACUUUCUUACACCGAAUGCUUGCAUUCACCGUAAGAAGUUGAGUGGCGGACGGGUGAGUAACACGUGGGUAACCUGCCUAAAAGAAGGGGAUAACACUUGGAAACAGGUGCUAAUACCGUAUAUCUCUAAGGAUCGCAUGAUCCUUAGAUGAAAGAUGGUUCUGCUAUCGCUUUUAGAUGGACCCGCGGCGUAUUAACUAGUUGGUGGGGUAACGGCCUACCAAGGUGAUGAUACGUAGCCGAACUGAGAGGUUGAUCGGCCACAUUGGGACUGAGACACGGCCCAAACUCCUACGGGAGGCAGCAGUAGGGAAUCUUCCACAAUGGACGCAAGUCUGAUGGAGCAACGCCGCGUGAGUGAAGAAGGUCUUCGGAUCGUAAAACUCUGUUGUUAGAGAAGAACACGAGUGAGAGUAACUGUUCAUUCGAUGACGGUAUCUAACCAGCAAGUCACGGCUAACUACGUGCCAGCAGCCGCGGUAAUACGUAGGUGGCAAGCGUUGUCCGGAUUUAUUGGGCGUAAAGGGAACGCAGGCGGUCUUUUAAGUCUGAUGUGAAAGCCUUCGGCUUAACCGGAGUAGUGCAUUGGAAACUGGAAGACUUGAGUGCAGAAGAGGAGAGUGGAACUCCAUGUGUAGCGGUGAAAUGCGUAGAUAUAUGGAAGAACACCAGUGGCGAAAGCGGCUCUCUGGUCUGUAACUGACGCUGAGGUUCGAAAGCGUGGGUAGCAAACAGGAUUAGAUACCCUGGUAGUCCACGCCGUAAACGAUGAAUGCUAGGUGUUGGAGGGUUUCCGCCCUUCAGUGCCGCAGCUAACGCAAUAAGCAUUCCGCCUGGGGAGUACGACCGCAAGGUUGAAACUCAAAGGAAUUGACGGGGGCCCGCACAAGCGGUGGAGCAUGUGGUUUAAUUCGAAGCAACGCGAAGAACCUUACCAGGUCUUGACAUCCUUUGACCACCUAAGAGAUUAGGCUUUCCCUUCGGGGACAAAGUGACAGGUGGUGCAUGGCUGUCGUCAGCUCGUGUCGUGAGAUGUUGGGUUAAGUCCCGCAACGAGCGCAACCCUUACUGUCAGUUACUACGCAAGAGGACUCUGGCAGGACUGCCGUUGACAAAACGGAGGAAGGUGGGGAUGACGUCAAAUCAUCAUGCCCCUUAUGACCUGGGCUACACACGUGCUACAAUGGACGGUACAACGAGUCGCGAGACCGCGAGGUUUAGCUAAUCUCUUAAAGCCGUUCUCAGUUCGGAUUGUAGGCUGCAACUCGCCUACAUGAAGUCGGAAUCGCUAGUAAUCGCGAAUCAGCAUGUCGCGGUGAAUACGUUCCCGGGCCUUGUACACACCGCCCGUCACACCAUGAGAGUUUGUAACACCCAAAGCCGGUGGGGUAACCGCAAGGAGCCAGCCGUCUAAGGUGGGACAGAUGAUUGGGGUG